UACGUAGGGCGCAAGCGUUAUCCGGAAUUAUUGGGCGUAAAGAGCUCGUAGGCGGUCUGUCGCGUCGAUCGUGAAAACUUGGGGCUUAACCCUGAGCUUGCGGUCGAUACGGGCAUGACUGGAGUUCGGCAGGGGAGACUGGAAUUCCUGGUGUAGCGGUGAAAUGCGCAGAUAUCAGGAGGAACACCGGUGGCGAAGGCGGGUCUCUGGGCCGAUACUGACGCUGAGGGGCGAAAGCGUGGGGAGCGAACAGG
rnacentral:rRNA from 1 species